AAACACAAAAGAACAUCACGACAAUAGCUCUCGCAUCGUCCUCUUUUUCUUCCGAUCGAUUCGAUCUCGCCUCGUCAUCCUCUAAACCGAUCCCGCCUCAUCGCCUUUAGAAGACGAAACCCUCGAAGAAAUCGAAGAGACACGCGGCCGAAGAGGAGGAGGAGGAGCAGUCUCCUAAGAAAGCGAAGGAGAGCAAGAAGAAGAAACACAAGAGAUCGAUAUCAUCAGAUGAAUCCGAAGAAGAGGAGGAGCAAUCAUCUCCUAAGAAAUAGAAGGAGAGCAAGAAGAAGAAACACAAGAGAUUGAUAUCAUUUGAUGAAUCCGAAGAAGAAGAAGAAGAAGAGCCAGAGACUACUCAUCAAAUCGUCGAUACGAAGCCCGUUGUUACAACAAAGAAGGAGUCGGAUUCGGAUUUUUAGAAGGUUUUUAGCUCCCCUCUGCUUCCAGAUCUGCUUCUGCAGUCUCUCUCUCAGGUUCGCAGGGAUGUCAAAGGAAGAAGCUUCUUCCAUCUUGAUUCAGACUACCUUUAGGGGUUAUUUGGCAAGAAGUGGAACGACAACAAUCAGUCCAAGGCACAAGUGGAAGCGGGUAUGCUGCACAAGCACGAGGCAACAAUGAGAAGGGAAAGAGCAUUAGCUUAUGCAUUCACACAUCAGGUUUACGUUCCAAUCAUACCCGUGAACCUUGUGAUCUCACGUUGGCACAAGAGAACAACAAGUUUCUGGUCUUGGUUCUGAUCUUCCCGUGACUUUCUCCUUGUGAUCUCAAGUCGGCACAAGAGAACAACAAGUCUCUGGUCUUGGUUUUUUGUGUUUUUCUUUCACCACAACAAGAGAACAACGCACGUGAACAACAAGAGAACAACGCCCGUGAACAACAAGAGAACAAAGCCCGUGAAUUUUUUUGUGUUUUUCUUUCCCCACUUGAUGUUCAGUAAACUUGUAUAUAUAGCAAACGAGAAUCAUAUUCAGUCUCUUGUAAUUCUCUUAUCUGGCAAAAAUUUGGCACAACUCGAUAUUAGACCGAUGCUAAUUAUGUUAUUCAUAAUGCUUUUAUAUGU